GCCAGCGGAGGCUCACAUUCACCCCUUUCUUCCAUUAAUAAAACAUUAGCGGUCACCAUAGUAAAAAGUAAACAAACAUUCUAUUUAGGAAAACAUAUAAUACUGUACAAACGGCCUUGGGGGCACCACGUGCUGAAACCUUCCAGGCUCCGUCCCGUUUUUUUUGAGGAAUUCAAUGGGAAAACAAUUUCAUUGUGGAAAACCGCUUGCCCAUGAUUACCCCAAGCUCAGAUUUCCCCCUCACUAGAGAGACUAGUCCCGCAGGUUUAAGCGAAUUUGCCCUUGCCCGCUGAACUUAGGCAUAUCAAUCAGCGGAGGAAAAGAAACUAGCAAGGAUUCCCUUAGUAACUGCGAGUGAAGUGGGAAGAGCUCAAAUUUAGAAUCUGGCAGUCAGUUGGCUGUGCGAGUUGUACUCUAGAGAAGUUUAGAACCUUGCUGGACCAUGUACAAGUCUCCUGGAAUGGAGCAUCACAGAGGGUGAGAAUCCUGUCUUUGACAUGGACUGCCAGUGCUUUUGUGGUACGCUCUCAAAGAGUCGAGUUGUUUGGGAAUGCAGCUCAAAAUGGGUGGUAAAUGCCAUCUAAAGCUAAAUAUUGGCGAGAGACCGAUAGCGAACAAGUACCGUGAGGGAAAGAUGAAAAGAACUUUGGAAAGAGAGUUAAACAGUACGUGAAAUUGCUGAAAGGGAAACGCUUGAAGUCAGUCACGUUGACUCGGAAUCAGCUCUGCUUUUGCUGGGUGUACUUUCUUGUCAAUGGGUCAGCAUCAAUUUUGACCAUUGGAUAAAGUUGCUGGGAAUGUAGCAUCCUUUUGGAUGUGUUAUAUCCUGGUGACGCAGUACAGUGGUUGGGAUUAGAGGAAUUCAGCACGCCACCAGGUCGGGUGUUAGUACGCGUUCGUGCUUAGGAUGCUGGCAUAAUGGCUAUAAUUGUGCCGUCUUGAAACACGG
rnacentral:rRNA from 1 species